UCAGCUUCUUCUUCCUUUCACUGGAUUCAAGGUAAAGAAAGAGAGAUAGAUCACGCCUAAAAGCAGCAUUCCUAUAGCUCUAUGCCAAAAGCAAAAGCGUAAAUGAGUUAGGAGCUUGAACCAGGCAAUUUCCUUAUGUUUAGAGUAUAAGGGCAAAGACAAGUCCUCCCAUUACUGGAAGUGCAUCGUGGAAAAGGCUCGUUGAGACCUGCUAUGAUCCCCCUUUCAAUCGAUUGGGGAAGAAGGAAGACUCCCAAACCCUUACCAACCCUUUGAUCCACCAUAACUUCCUCGUUUGAUCUCCGAUCGCCGCACCGUUUGCGGCCACGUGUCCAGCGCGUUGAGCUCUAUAUUUCUAUCGGAUCAAUUUCACCGAUAAGCUCCCUUUUUGUUCCAGAGUCUCUAUUCCCUUCUAUUCUUUUAUUUGAAACCCUAUGGUGAGAUUCUUCCCAAUUUGGUGUUCUAGGUUCGAUCUAGCUUGCGGGAGUUGUUGGGUUUGAGUUGCUACGUCUAUGGGUGAGGUGUGAAUUAAGUUCAUAUAUAUGCAUUGGAAUUAAAUUGGGAGCAUUUGGAAGCUUGUUGGUGAUUGAAGUCAAGACUUGGGUUGGUUUCUCAAGCUUGUGAGGGGCUGUGAUUGUGUUCUUGUGGCUGCCUUGGUCCACGCGCGGUGAUCGGCCAAGAUGCAGGUCGAGAGACUCCUCGCUAGGUGUCUGGAUUCCUGAAGCGGAGUAGUCCCUGGGA